rnacentral:rRNA from 1 species
GAGCCCGCACAAGCAGUGGAGUAUGUGGUUUAAUUCGACGCAACGCGAAGAACCUUACCGGAACUUGACAUCCUGAGAAGCCGGCUGUAAUGGCCGGUGUGCCCUUCGGGGAACUCAGAGACAGGUGGUGCAUGGUUGUCGUCAGCUCGUGUCGUGAGAUGUUGGGUUAAGUCCCGCAACGAGCGCAACCCUUACGGUUAGUUGCUACGAAAGAGCACUCUAGCCGGACUGCCGUUGACAAAACGGAGGAAGGCGGGGACGACGUCAAAUCAUCAUGCCCCUUACGUUCCGGGCUACACACGUACUACAAUGGCGCAAACAAAGGGAAGCGAAGUCGCGAGACGGAGCGAACCCCAAAAAAGGCGUCCCAGUUCGGACUGCAGGCUGCAACCCGCCUGCACGAAGUUGGAAUUGCUAGUAAUCGCGGAUCAGCAUGCCGCGGUGAAUACGUUCCCGGGCUUU